GAAACUUUUAAACGGCCGCGGUAUCCUAACCGUGCAAAGGUAGCGUAAUCACUUGUCUUUUAAAUAAAGACUUGUAUGAACGGCUAAAUGAGGAUAAACCUGUCUCUUUUAAUUAACCAGUGAAACUGAUCUUCAAGUACAAAAGCUUGAAUAAACACAUAAGACGAGAAGACCCUGUGGAGCUUAAAACCCACACCAUGCCACAACCGAAUGGUCCCGGUUUUAAGUUGGGGCGACUUCGGAAAACAAUGCAACUUCCGAGCACAGAGCCAACCACUCCCACCAAGACCAACAAGUCAAAGCAAACGCCGACCCAGUCACGCUGAGCAACGAACCAAGUUACCCCAGGGAUAACAGCGCCAUCUUCUUCAAGAGUCCCUAUCGACAAGAAGGUUUACGACCUCGAUGUUGGAUCAGGACACCCAAAUGGUGCAGCAGCUAUUAAAGGUUCGUUUGUUCAACGAUCAAUAGUCCUACGUGAUCUGAGUUC
rnacentral:rRNA from 1 species